rnacentral:rRNA from 1 species
UACGUAGGGUGCAAGCGUUGUCCGGAAUUAUUGGGCGUAAAGAGCUCGUAGGCGGUGUGUCGCGUCGGCCGUGAAAACCUGGGGCUUAACUCUGGGCGUGCGGUCGAUACGGGCAUCACUAGAGUCGGCAGGGGAGACUGGAAUUCCUGGUGUAGCGGUGAAAUGCGCAGAUAUCAGGAGGAACACCGGUGGCGAAGGCGGGUCUCUGGGCAGUAACUGACGCUGAGGAGCGAAAGCGUGGGGAGCGAACAGG